rnacentral:lncRNA from 1 species
CAUGAGCAGCUUCCUGGCAAGAGUACUGGGAAACUAUAGCCUGAACUUUCCUCUUAACAGGGACCCUUUAUUUUUUCCGCACAGGAGCUUGGGAAUACAGCAGCAGGCUUUAAAGCUUGCCUGUCUUUCGCCUACGCUUCUGGAAUCCUCAAGUUGUGUUGACCCACCUGGGAACACUGCUGGUUCCAGAAUGCCAAGCUCCAGUAAUUGUAUAAAAUAAAAUUAAAAUACCAG